UCAAGAGGUCAUCAAUAUUUAAGCAAUAAUCACACUACCGACAAUGUUACUGUCAUUAUUUCUACACGACGUUCGAAAGAAAACUGAAAAAAAAAUGUCUAAGCUGACGUACAUUCUCGUCCUCAUGGCUGUACUAGCCAUUGUUGCAGCUCGUCCCCAAGAAGCGUCCAACGCCGAUGACGGUAGUCAAGUGUCUGUCGUCAAUGGAGAAAACCAAGUGAACGUUGUUGAAGGAGGUAGCCAAGUUCAUGUAGUGGAGGGAGAAGAUGAUAUAUCACAAUUUUUACGGAGCUGAAAAUAAUAAACCAUUAAGAAAUUUUAAUAACCACAAACCCAAAGAAAUAUAAUUCGCGUCAAUUAAACGUUUUUUUCAUUUGAAUAUGCUAACAUUCUUUUUUAAAUAUAACAUCAAGUUAUAUUCAUGUCUUUUAUUGCUUCUUUGAUAAUAAUAAAAGUGACCUCCGAUUAGGCAAAGGGGUCAAGUCCGCUACAUCCGGUGGGAUGCUUGAUUGAUCUAUAUAAAGACCGCAUUGUCGCAUUAUGUAAUAUGUUAACAAUGAUUGACCGUAUAUUUUUUAUUAUAAA